rnacentral:misc_RNA from 1 species
UGGUUCUCGCAUCGAUGAAGAACGCAGCGAAACGCGAUAGGUAAUGUGAAUUGCAGAAUUCAGUGAAUCAUCGAAUCUUUGAACGCACAUUGCGCCUCCUGGUAUUCCGGGAGGCACGUCUGCUUGAGCGUCAGCAAAAAACCCUUCGGUGGCCGGUUCUGAACCGGCCGCCGGACCUUGGGGCAGGGCGUGGGGCUUGUCGCCUCCACUCCCGCCCUCAAUGUGGCCGAAGCUUGCGGACCGAUGCCCCUCGACCAAAGCGUAGUAGAUGUAACAGUUAAACCGCUUGAAACUCGUCGGGACGAAGUCCACGCCUCUUUUUGCAACCAACGGUCCGAACCUCGGGGCUUUCGCCCGGACGAGGGGAAGACCUCUGACGUUUGACCUCAAGUCAGAUGAGGAUACCCGCUGA